GAUAAGUUGGAGAAAGAAGAGAGUUUGGAAAUGCCAUGAGGGUACUGCAUUCUGCAGAGUGUCCAAGAGGAAGAGAGAAAGGUUCACACAAGCAACAUUCAGAAGACUGGGAAGUUUCAGUCGCUCUGCAAUGGAAGAGGAUUAAGAUUAAUGUAGUUAUCCUGGACAUAUAGGAUGGCCUUGACGUGCAUUUGCUGAAACGAGGGAAGUCAGCAUGAAGAAGCUGUUUUAGUUAAGGUGACAGCAGAAUGCAGUUCCACUCCGGGACCUACUUCGAUGCUUGGUGCAAACAGAAAGAGAAAUAUACGGUAAUUUCUGGGUCUGCGUAUAAACAAGGAUAAUAACAGCUAUCAAAUAUAUCAAACAAGCAAUAUCACUGCCAAGUGAUAGUGAAUAGGACAUUGGCAUCACCAGUGACUGAUGAGGGGGACCUGAAUCGGUAAAUGCAUUUUCUGAGUUUAAAGAGGUGCAACUUCCAAUUAACUGAACAAGCAG